rnacentral:tRNA from 1 species
GAGGAUAUAGUUCAGUGGUAGAGUGUGUGCUUAGCAUGCACAAGGUCCUGGGUUCAAUCCCCAGUACCUCCA